rnacentral:rRNA from 1 species
GCAGCCGCGGUAAUUCCAGCUCCAAAAGCGUAUUCAAAUGUUGUUGCAGUUAAAAAGCUCGUAGUUGGAUAUCAGACCAUGUGAAGUUGGCCCGCCGCCUUUGUGCGGUUUGAGUGCUGAUGCAACUGGUCUUUCUCUUCCAGAGAGGGCCCCUCCCCUUAAUUGGUGGUGGGGGUUCCGAUCCGGAUCAGUUACCUUGAAUAAAUUAGAGUGUUCAAAGCAAGCUUACGCUGUGAAUAUUUUAGCAUGGAAUAACGACAUAGGACUUUGUUGUCUAUUUCGUUGGUUUCUAGACUCGAAGUAAUGAUUGAUAGGGACAGUUGGGGGUGCUGGUAUUAUACGGCCAGAGGUGAAAUUCUCAGAUUCGUGUAAGACCAACUCAUGCGAAAGCAUUCACCAAAGAUGUCUUCUUUAAUCAAGAACGAAAGUUGGGGUAGCGAAGAGGAUUAGAUACCCUUGUAGUCUCAACCAUAAACUAUGCCAGCUCAGGAUUGGAGGACGUUUUAUUGACUCCUUCAGCACUGUAUGAGAAAUCAAAGCCUUUGGGUUCUGGGGGGAGUAUGGUCGCAAGGCUGAAACUUAAAGGAAUUGACGGAAGGACACCACCAGAAGUGGAACUUGCGGCUUAAUUUGACUCAACACGGGACAACUUACCAGGCCCGGACAAUGUUAUGAAUGUCAGCUUAAAGAGCUUACAUGAUUCUUUGGGUGGUGGUGCACGGCCGUUCUUAGUUGGUGGAGUGAUUUGUCUGGUUAAUUCCGUUAACGAACGAGACCCCAACCUGCUAAAUAGAGCCGGUCUCCCAUUUGGGAGGACGGAUACUUCUUAGAGGGACUUUUGGAACCAAUCCAAAGGAAGCUUGGGGCAAUAACAGGUCUGUGAUGCCC